CAGCAGACAGGGUCCGCCGCUGUUGGGGUAGCCAACCUGCUUGGUCAGCUGCGGCGGUCUCGAAGCGAUGCGAGUGAGAAAUCGCGCAUCAACUGUCACUGCUACCAUAGUGCCUUCCGCAUUAUCGCGGCCUAAUCAAAUGUUUUGGCACACGCUUUCCCAAAUGUAAAAGCCUGCAGCAAUGAGUGAACCAGUCAUACAGCGUACACAGGUAUAUGAGCCGGCUUUGCGGUACUUUCAAAAACUGCAACUUCUAGAUGAACACUACAUACCUCAACAUUUUGGCAGCUUCACCAUCAUCAUCAUUCGCACAAUCAGUUGAAGAUGGUUACAGUUUUCAGACUGACGAAAGCUCACAUUGAAAUGUUGCUCUGGGACCUGCUGCAAAUAAUUGAAUAGAGAUUGCAGAGGAGAGUGUUGUAUACUCUCUAAAAUAAUCAGACUUGAUUGUUCAAGCACCAUCACCAGUAACAACACUGAGUGGAGAAGGGAGUGCUGCACCAAGGUAUUCAACACCGAUAUAAAGAAAAAGAAAUGAAGAAGGUAACUAUUCCAGUGCACUGCAGCUACUUGCCGAAAGACUGCAAUCUAUUUCUAAUGACGAUGUUGAAACAUUUGUGAAAUAUUUGGCUUCUGAAAUGAAAGCCAUUAAAAACCAUGAAACAAGAAUGGUGUGUAAAUAGCAAAUUCUAAAACUCGUAUGUGAUGCAGU